rnacentral:rRNA from 1 species
AGAGUUUGAUCCUGGCUCAGAACGAACGCUGGCGGCAGGCUUAACACAUGCAAGUCGAACGCACUCUUCGGAGUGAGUGGCAGACGGGUGAGUAACGCGUGGGAACCUACCCAUUGGUUCGGAAUAACCCAGGGAAACUUGGGCUAAUACCGGAUACGCCCUUCGGGGGAAAGAUUUAUCGCCAUUGGAUGGGCCCGCGUCGGAUUAGCUAGUUGGUGGGGUAAUGGCCUACCAAGGCAACGAUCCGUAGCUGGUCUGAGAGGAUGAUCAGCCACACUGGGACUGAGACACGGCCCAGACUCCUACGGGAGGCAGCAGUGGGGAAUAUUGGACAAUGGGCGCAAGCCUGAUCCAGCCAUGCCGCGUGAGUGAUGAAGGCCUUAGGGUUGUAAAGCUCUUUCGGCGGGGACGAUAAUGACGGUACCCGCAGAAGAAGCCCCGGCUAACUUCGUGCCAGCAGCCGCGGUAAUACGAAGGGGGCUAGCGUUGUUCGGAAUCACUGGGCGUAAAGGGCGCGUAGGCGGCUUUAUAAGUCGGGGGUGAAAGCCUGUGGCUCAACCACAGAAUUGCCUUCGAUACUGUAUGGCUUGAGACCGGAAGAGGUAAGUGGAACUGCGAGUGUAGAGGUGAAAUUCGUAGAUAUUCGCAAGAACACCAGUGGCGAAGGCGGCUUACUGGUCCGGUUCUGACGCUGAGGCGCGAAAGCGUGGGGAGCAAACAGGAUUAGAUACCCUAGUAGUCC